UACGAAGGGUGCAAGCGUUACUCGGAAUUACUGGGCGUAAAGCGUGCGUAGGUGGUUUGUUAAGUCUGUUGUGAAAGCCCCGGGCUCAACCUGGGAAUGGCAGUGGAUACUGGCAGGCUAGAGUGCGGUAGAGGGUAGUGGAAUUCCCGGUGUAGCGGUGAAAUGCGUAGAGAUCGGGAGGAACACCAGUGGCGAAGGCGGCUACCUGGACCAGCACUGACACUGAGGCACGAAAGCGUGGGGAGCAAACAGG
rnacentral:rRNA from 1 species